rnacentral:rRNA from 1 species
AGAGUUUGAUUAUGGCUCAGGAUGAACGCUAGCUACAGGCCUAACACAUGCAAGUCGAGGGGCAGCAGAUCGAAAGCUUGCUUUGAUGCUGGCGACCGGCGAAUGGGUGAGUCACGCGUGUCCAACCUGCCCUGUGCCCGGGGAUAGCCCUUGGAAAUGAGGAUUAACACCCGAUAGGUGGCGCUUCCGCAUGGCGGCGCCAUGAAACCGACACAGGAUGGGGACGCGUCGGAUUAGCUUGACGGCGGGGCGACGGCCCACCGUGGCGACGAUCCGCAGGGGUCCUGAGAGGAAGGUCCCCCACACUGGCACUGAGACACGGGCCAGACUCCUACGGGAGGCAGCAGUGAGGAAUAUUGGUCAAUGGCCGAGAGGCUGAACCAGCCAAAGUAGCGUGCAGGACGACGGCCCUACGGGUUGUAAACUGCUUUUGCGGGAGGAUAAAGGACGCCACGUGUGGCGUUUUGCAGGUAUCCCGUGAAUAAGGACCGGCUAAUUCCGUGCCAGCCGCGGC